GACGAACGCUGGCGGCGUGCUUAACACAUGCGAGUCGAACGGAAAGGCCCUGCUUUUGUGGGGUGCUCGAGUGGCGAACGGGUGAGUAACACGUGAGUAACCUGCCCUUGACUUUGGGAUAACUUCAGGAAACUGGGGCUAAUACCGGAUAGGAGCUCCUGCUGCAUGGUGGGGGUUGGAAAGUUUCGGCGGUUGGGGAUGGACUCGCGGCUUAUCAGCUUGUUGGUGGGGUAGUGGCUUACCAAGGCUUUGCCGGGUAGCCGGCCUGAGAGGGUGACCGGCCACAUUGGGACUGAGAUACGGCCCAGACUCCUACGGGAGGCAGCGGUGGGGAAUAUUGCACAAUGGGCGGAAGCCUGAUGCAGCAACGCCGCGUGCGGGAUGACGGCCUUCGGGUUGUAAACCGCUUUCGCCUGUGACGAAGCGUGAGUGACGGUAAUGGGUAAAGAAGCACCGGCUAACUACGUG
rnacentral:rRNA from 1 species